GAUGAACGCUAGCGGCGUGCCUAACACAUGCAAGUCGAACGUGAGAGGGUACUUGUAUCCUUGAAAGUGGCGGACGGGUGAGUAAGACGUAGGUGACCUGCCUCGAAGUGGGGGAUAACCAUUGGAAACGAUGGCUAAUACCGCAUAAGCUGGUGACGAUGGGAAUGGUUAUCAGGAAAGCUUUAGUGCUUUGAGAGGGGCCUACGGCCGAUUAGCUAGUUGGUGAGGUAAAGGCUCACCAAGGCGAUGAUCGGUAGCUGGUCUGAGAGGACGAUCAGCCACACGGGAACUGAGACACGGUCCCGACUCCUACGGGGGGCAGCAGUGAGGAAUAUUCGGCAAUGGGGGCAACCCUGACCGAGCAACGCCGCGUGGAGGAUGACGGUUUUCGGAUUGUAAACUCCUUUUCUCAGGGAAGAGCGAGGACGGUACCUGGGGAAUAAUCACGGCUAACUACGUG
rnacentral:rRNA from 1 species